rnacentral:rRNA from 1 species
UACGGGGGGGGGUAAGCGUUGUUCGGAAUUACUGGGCGUAAAGGGCUCGUAGGCGGCCAACUAAGUCAUACGUGAAAUCCCUCAGCUUAACUGGGGAACUGCGUGUGAUACUGGAUGGCUUGGAUUUGGGAGAGGGAUGCGGAAUUCCAGGUGUAGCGGUGAAAUGCGUAGAUAUCUGGAGGAACACCGGUGGCGAAGGCGGCAUCCUGGACCGGCAUUGACGCUGAGGCGCGAAAGCCAGGGGAGCAAACGGG